UACGUAGGGGGCAAGCGUUGUCCGGAUUUAUUGGGCGUAAAGAGCGUGUAGGCGGCUAGGUAGGUCCGUUGUGAAAACUCGAGGCUCAACCUCGAGCUGUCGAUGGAAACCAUCUGGCUAGAGUCCGGAAGAGGAGAGUGGAAUUCCUGGUGUAGCGGUGAAAUGCGCAGAUAUCAGGAGGAACACCGGUGGCGAAGGCGGAUCUCUGGGCCAUUACUGACGCUGAGGAGCGAAAGCGUGGGGAGCGAACAGG
rnacentral:rRNA from 1 species